rnacentral:ncRNA from 1 species
GUUAAAUUGUUCAUGAGUUAAUUUAUUUUUUAUUUAAAAAUCUUAGGGUAAAGUUUUAUUCUUGCUUAUUUAUUUAUUAAUUCUUUUUGUUAUAUGUAAGUUUUAUUAUACUAAAUGUUCUUUUUGCAGUAAUUUAAUUUAAUUAUCAAUUUAUUUUGGAAUUAGUAAUUGAUUUAGUAUCAGCAUAUUUCGUGCCAGCAGCUGCGGUUAUACGAUUGAUGCAAAUAAAUAUUUUUGGUUAUAGCAGUUAUUAGUAUUUUUGAGUAUAUUUUGUGAUUUUUAAGGUGAAAUUUAAUUUUUUUAUAUUAUUCUUUUUAUGAAGCUGUGAAAUUUAAAUAAUAAACUAGGAUUAGAUACCCUAUUAUUUUAAUUGUUAAAAUUACUUACCUGGGUAGUAUUAGUUAAGAUCUUUAAACUCAAAGAAUUUGGCGGUACCUUAUUCCAUUUAGAGGAACCUAUCCCAUUAUUGAUAGUACACGAUUUACUUUACUUAAUUUAAUUGUUUGUAUAUCUCCGUUAUCAGAAAAUCUUUUUAGAGAUAUAAUUUUCUUGAUUUAUAAUUAUAAAAUAUUUCAGGUCAAGGUGCAGCUUAUAAUUAAGAGGAGGUGGGUUACAAUAAAUUUUUGUUUAUAUGGAUUUGAAAAUGAAAUAUUUUUAAUGAAGGUGGAUUUAAUAGUAAUUUGAUUUAUUUAAUUUAAUUGAUAUUGGCUCUAAGGUGUGUACACAUCGCCCGUCGCUCUCAUUAUUUAAUAUAAUUAUUUAAUUUAUUAUCAACUAAUUGAGAUAAGUCGUAACAUAGUAGAUGUACUGGAAAGUGUAUCUAGAAAGGUUAAA